rnacentral:lncRNA from 1 species
GUUUCUGUUUUAAUAUUUAGAUCUUUAAUCAACUUGGAUUUUAGUUUAGUGCAUGGUGAAAGAUAAGGGUCUAGUUUUAAUCAUUAGCAGGUUGAGAUCCAGUUUUUCCAACACCAUUUAUUAAAGAGGUUAUCUUUCCUCCAGUGGGCAUGAUCACCUCCUUUUUCAAAGAGGACAUAGCUGAGUACAUCUGGAUUUGUUAUUGUGUCUUCCAAUCUGUUCCACUGAUCCUCAGGUCUGUUUCUUUGUCAGUUACAAUGUGUAUGGUUCUUAUGUUAUCCCAUCGCUGGAGAAAGAACUUGAUAAGAGUCAGGCAAUUGUCUCGCCAGGAGGCCAGUCACUGUGACUUACUGUAGAAUCCUAAGUGCAAAGUGAAUGACAUCACAGAGGGGAUUCAGCAUCUCAGAGACAGACUACAGCCUUGAAGACACCAUGUCCUCCCGAAGGAGGCUCAGCAGCACUCAUGUACAGGGGAAAAGCUGUCCCGUGGACCAAGGAUACAACCCUCAGAAACAUCUGCAUUAUCUCCAAAACACAUUGACUAAACUUUGUGCUCCCUGUUUGGGUUCAAUUCAAAUGACGUGGAAUACUCUACCUGAAAACUGA